CGGAGGACAAGGUGUGCGACAUGGUUCCUUGCUGGCAUAAGUAAGCUCCAUUUAUGCAUAGCAGUUGUUUGGAGGAGGUUUGUUGCACACCUGUUGUUCCCAAACUUUCAGCCAUGCUCUGUUUCUUCAAAUAGUCCACCCCUUGCUUCCAGAAUAAAGAAAACCUGCAUUGUGGGAGUGGUAGAUGGAAGUGCAACCUUUCACUGACUAUAAAGAACAAGUUUUAUUAUGAAUGACCCUUCAAAAGGAGGCUUUUAGGGGUCAUAAUUUGGAUCCAGCAAACAAAGUUGAGGUUUACUGGAUGGGCUUCACCACUUGAAGACAGAAGCUGGCAGGAUAUCCUCUUUGCCGCACUACCGGCAGGGGGCAAAAAGGAAGCCCAGC